rnacentral:rRNA from 1 species
CCUACGGGAGGCAGCAGUGGGGAAUAUUGCGCAAUGGGCGCAAGCCUGACCCAGCAACGCCGCGUGAAUGAAGAAGGCUUUCGGGUUGUAAACUUCUUUUGUCAGGGAAGAGUAGAAGACGGUACCUGACGUAUACGCCACGGCUAACUACGUGCCCGCAGCCGCGGUAAUACGUAGGUGGCAACCGCGGUACGGAGUUACUGGGUGUAAAGGGCGGGUAGCCGGGUUGACAAGUCAGAUGUGAAAUCCUGGGGCUCAACCGUAGAACUGCAUCUGAAACUGGUGAUCUUGAGUAUUGGAGAGGCGGAUGGAAUUCCUAGUGUAGCGGUGAAAUGCGUAGAUAUUAGGAGGAACACCAGUGGCGAAGGCGGUCCGCUGGACAGAAACUGACGGUGAGGCGCGAAAGCGUGGGGAGCAAACAGGAUUAGAUACCCGGGUAGUC